UUUAAACUGGUGUGCUCACCUCCUUCCCACUGGGUUUAAGGCUAGUACAGACACUUGGGCACCUUGUGCCUGGCUCCAUUGGUGUCGCCUGUGAAGGCUGGUGAGGGCUGAUGGGCGCCCUGGCCUGGCUGGGUUCUCUUUGCUGAUUAAUAGCUGGCUGUGUGGAAGAUGGCCUGAGUUCACAGAAGCUGGCCUAGCCCGUGCUCAGGUGUGGUCCAAGGAUGUUGAGGCUGUUUCCUGCCGUGGGGAAGGUGCAGGGCUGAGCAGAAGCUGGCCCUGAAGGUAGAAGAGGCUGCAUCCUUCAUUCCAUGCCCUCUGCUUGCAGUCAUUUUCCUUUUUUUGCCCAUGUCCAAGUCCCUCUUGGACAGAAAAGUGCCUGGGGCCAUUCUGUUGGAUUCCAGUGACUGACAGGCCAGCAACAACUCAGAGCCUCCCUUCCCUCCAGUGCCCUCGAGGGUCAGGCUGCCAUCCUGUAUGUCCUUUCCCUGGACAAUCAGGCCACCCGCUCUGCCCCUGACUUCCAGAGUCAUUCCUGGGAAUCCACCCACCCCACAGAAGGGAAGCUACUCUUAGGAAGUCCAAGAUGACUUUCUGUCAUUUUAUUUCCUGCAAAAGUAGAAAAACCAUACAGAUUUGAUCUCUGUGGGCACACUAUUAAAUGUUUAAAAAGUCAGUCACACAAACGAAUGAAAACAUCAAUGUUUAUGCAUAGCCCACAGCAAUUCAUCAUGAUGUAAAGGAGCAGGACUGGAUUCCGGGUCAGGAGGGCUGGGUUCGCCAGUCCACCGCGUUAUCUGCUGCGUGAGAAGUCUUGGUUAGGAAAUCACUGAACCUCACUGGGCCUCAGUCUUUUCAUCUGUUAAGUGGUGCAUGGUGGGGAGGGAAGGAAAGGAGAAUACCUACCUCAGAGAGUCCAGAGGCGCCAUCUGGUUCUUUCCUGGAUGGCCUAGGGGUGUCAGAUGCUGGGAAGAGACAGAAGGGUCCUGAACUACGGUGUCUCCUCAGGGGGCAGAAUCCACAAAAUCAUCAGCCUUUCACCACCUGGGUGAACAAUGCUGUACGUUUUUCCCUUAGGUUCCUGUGUCAAAACAACUGCCCGACUCAGAGAUCAAUAUAGGGGACACAAUUUUGGAAAGUGACAUAUGGGUGAAAGUGAAUCUGCACGAACAGAACCUGAUCAUGCUGGAACCUUCUACCUUGCCUUCCCUUCUUGGACAAUUUUGGUCUCAUUCUCAUUUACUUUCCUCAAAGAGACUAUUUAAGGGGAAACUAUAACUACUUGCCUCAAACCAUCACUGUGAAAUAGACACUGGCAAUUCUAUAGUGUUUGGUUCCAAUAAGACAAAAAUAAACACAAAUUACAUCCAUUUAACUUUUAUUUUAAAUCAUCUGCUGGGAUCCUGGUCUUCUUCUAGCACCAUAAUUAUGUAUCAGUUAACAAUCCAAGUUAGGAAGAUUAUAGGUAUAAUUUAAAGCAAUAAAAUGACUGGGGAACAUUUUCUAUAAUUGUCAAUUGAAAUGAAAUCUUUAGAAACGGCUGAAUGACUUUUGGCAAAGUUAAGCCUUGGCCAAACCAACUGAAGAUGACUGGUGAUGUAUCCAGCUCUCCAGAUCAAGUGUCUGUUACAUUCUGGGCUCUGACUGCUGAUUGCUAAUGUGUCAAUGAUCUAUCUGUUUAGCUACUCUAGUUUAGCUUACCUAUCUACCUUAGUUUCCG
ensembl:lncRNA